GACGAACGCUGGCGGCGUGCCUAAUACAUGCAAGUUGAGCGAUGAAGCUUGGUGCUUGCACCCAUUUGAAGAGCAGCGAACGGGUGAGUAACGCGUGGGGAAUCUGCCUUUGAGCGGGGGACAACAUUUGGAAACGAAUGCUAAUACCGCAUAACAACUUUAAACAUAAGUUUUAAGUUUGAAAGAUGCAAUUGCAUCACUCAAAGAUGAUCCCGCGUUGUAUUAGCUAGUUGGUGAGGUAAAGGCUCACCAAGGCGAUGAUACAUAGCCGACCUGAGAGGGUGAUCGGCCACAUUGGGACUGAGACACGGCCCAAACUCCUACGGGAGGCAGCAGUAGGGAAUCUUCGGCAAUGGACGAAAGUCUGACCGAGCAACGCCGCGUGAGUGAAGAAGGUUGUCGGAUCGUAAAACUCUGUUGGUAGAGAAGAACGUUGGUGAGAGUGGAAAGCUCAUCAAGUGACGGUAACUACCCAGAAAGGGACGGCUAACUACGUG
rnacentral:rRNA from 1 species